UACGUAGGGGGCAAGCGUUGUCCGGAUUUAUUGGGCGUAAAGCGCUUGUAGGCGGUUUGUCGCGUCUGCUGUGAAAAUCCGGGGCUCAACCCCGGACUUGCAGUGGGUACGGGCAGACUAGAGUGUGGUAGGGGAGACUGGAAUUCCUGGUGUAGCAGUGAAAUGCGUAGAUAUCGGGAGGAACAUCCGUGGCGAAGGCGGCCACCUGGGCCAACAUUGACGCUGAGGCACGAAAGCGUGGGGAGCAAACAGG
rnacentral:rRNA from 1 species